rnacentral:rRNA from 1 species
CACGUAGGGCGCAAGCGUUGUCCGGAAUUAUUGGGCGUAAAGAGCUCGUAGGUGGCCUGUUGCGUCCGCUGUGAAAACUCAGGGCUUAACCCUGAGCCGGCAGUGGAUACGGGCAGGCUAGAGGUAGGUAGGGGAGAAUGGAAUUCCUGGUGUAGCGGUGAAAUGCGCAGAUAUCAGGAGGAACACCGGUGGCGAAGGCGGUUCCCUGGCCUUACCGCGUACCACGUGAGGAGCUG